AAUUGGAAUGAUGGUGACCCAAACCCUCACCAGAGUAGCAAUUGGAGGGCAAGUCUGGUGCCAGCAGCCGCGGUAAUUCCAGCUCCAAUAGCGUAUAUUAAACUUGUUGCAGUUAAAAAGCUCGUAGUUGUAUUUUUGCGUUAGCGGUUUGACCAUUUGGUUGGUUAUUUCGUUUUCGCUUUUGGGAAUUUCCCUUUUUACUUUGAGAAAAUUAGAGUGUUUCAAGCAGACUUUUGUCUUGAAUACUUCAGCAUGGAAUAAUAGAGUAGGACUUUGGUUCUAUUUUGUUGGUUAUUGAACCUUAGUAAUGGUUAAUAGGAACGGUUGGGGGCAUUCGUAUUUAACUGUCAGAGGUGAAAUUCUUAGAUUUGUUAAAGACGAACUACUGCGAAAGCAUUUGCCAAGGACGUUUCCAUUAAUCAAGAACGAAAGUUAGGGGAU
rnacentral:rRNA from 1 species